AGGGGUGGGCAACUUUGACCCUCCAGCUGUUGUGGAAAUACAAGUUCCAUAAAGCACUGCAAGAUUCUGGCAGUUACAGACAUGACUCCCAGAGGCAGAAGCAUGAUGGGAUUUGUGGUUUCACCACAGCUGGAG